UAACGUUGCGUCAGCAACGGCCCGUAGGGCGAGGCGAAGCCGAGUCAUCCUGCACGACCCACCA
rnacentral:sRNA from 5 species